rnacentral:rRNA from 1 species
UAAUACGUAGGGGGCGAGCGUUGUCCGGAUUUAUUGGGCGUAAAGGGCUCGUAGGUGGCUUGGCAAGUCGGACGUAAAAGUCCAGGGCUCAACCCUGGGAUGCGUUCGAUACUGUCAGGCUAGAGGCCGGUAGGGGGAUCUGGAAUUCCUGGUGUAGCGGUGAAAUGCGCAGAUAUCAGGAGGAACACCGGUGGCGAAGGCGGGAUCCUGGGCCGGACCUGACACUGAUGAGCGAAAGCUGGGGGAGCGAACAGGAUUAGAUACCCUGGUAGUCCCAGCCGUAAACGAUGGGUGCUAGGUGUGGGAGGCUAUCGACGUCUUCCGUGCCGCAGCUAACGCAUUAAGCACCCCGCCUGGGGAGUACGGCCGCAAGGCUA